GACAGAGGUCCCGAGCGUUAGGCGGAAUCACUGGGCUUAAAGCGUGUGUAGGCGGAUUGGUAAGUACCUUGUGAAAUCCCACGGCUUAACCGUGGAACUGCUUGGUAUACUGCUUAUCUUGGGCCACUUAGGGGCUACCGGAACAAAUGGUGGAGCGGUGAAAUGCGUAGAUAUCAUUGGAACGCCAAUGGUGAAAACAGGUAGCUGGGAGUGUGCUGACGCUGAGACACGAAAGCCAGGGGAGCAAACAGG
rnacentral:rRNA from 1 species